GUGCAGCAGUCGCGAAUACUUUACAAUGUGCGAAAGCACGAUAAGGGAACUCUGAGUGCCUCCUAAGGAGGCUGUUCAGGUGUCUAAAAGCACCUGAAGGAAGGGCUGGGUAAGACCGGUGCCAGCCGCCGCGGUAACACCGGCAGCCCAAGUGGUAGCCACGUUUAUUGGGUCUAAAGCGUCCGUAGCCGGCUGGGUAAGUUCCUUGGGAAAUUUGGCUGCUUAACAGUCAAGCUUUCAGGGAAUACUGCCCGGCUUGGGACCGGGAGAGGUCAGAGGUACUCCAGGGGUAGGGUGAAAUCCAUUAAUCCUUGGGGGACCACCGGUAGCGAAGGCGUCUGACCAGACCGGGUCCGACGGUGAGGGACGAAGGCUAGGGGCGCGAACCGGAUUAGAUACCCCCGUAGU
rnacentral:rRNA from 1 species